UACGAAGGGUGCAAGCGUUAAUCGGAAUUACUGGGCGUAAAGCGUGCGUAGGCGGUUUGUUAAGUCUGUUGUGAAAUCCCCGGGCUCAACCUGGGAAUGGCAAUGGAUACUGGCAAGCUAGAGUGUGUCAGAGGAUGGUGGAAUUCCCGGUGUAGCGGUGAAAUGCGUAGAGAUCGGGAGGAACAUCAGUGGCGAAGGCGGCCAUCUGGGACAACACUGACGCUGAGGCACGAAAGCGUGGGGAUCAAACAGG
rnacentral:rRNA from 1 species